rnacentral:rRNA from 1 species
GUGACUCUUUAAACGGCCGCGGUAUCCUAACCGUGCAAAGGUAGCAUAAUCACUUGUCCCCUAAAUAGGGACUGGAAUGAACGGCUAAAUGAGGACUAAACUGUCUCUUACAGUCUAUCAAUGAAAUUAAUCUUCCAGUACAAAAGCUGGAAUAAGCUCAUAAGACGAGAAGACCCUGUGGAGCUUUAAAACCAAGCCACAAAACCUUUUGAUGCCUCCUGGUUUUUUAGUUGGGGCGACUUCGGAGCAAAAAAAACCCUCCGAAAACUUUGUUAUCAAGAUCAACACACCAAAAAUAAUUCUUACGACCCAGCAGCUUCUUAAAUAUUUCUGUCUGAUCAAUGAACCAAGUUACCCCAGGGAUAACAGCGCCAUCCCCUCCUAGAGUCCCUAUCGACAAGGGGGUUUACGACCUCGAUGUUGGAUCAGGACACCCCAAUGGUGCAGCCGCCAUUAAAGGUUCGUUUGUUCAACGAUUAAAGUCCUACGUGAUCU